rnacentral:lncRNA from 1 species
UAGAUAUUUUUAGGAUAUUUAUGUAUCUAAUAAUAUCUUCUUCUUUUUUUUAUAUUAUAUUUUAUACAUAUUCCAUAUAUAUACUAAUAUAACUUGGUAGGUAAAAAAAAUUCCCCAACUCUUUCACUUUUCUCUCUAUCUCUCUUGGUCUCUCUCUCUCUUUUUCUUGAUUUUUCUUCUUUUAGUUUUAUUUUCUUUUGUUAAUUUUAGUUUUAUUUUGAGAAUCAAGUGAAUAUAGCAAGGAGAUCAUUAAGGAAAGCUUGAAGAAUACAUUGAAGGAAUUACAAUUCGUAUUUAAAAGGAUUUUAUCUCAACUUUUGUAUUCCUUUCAUUUAGUUCUUCAUGUUUGUAAUGAUAUGUUUAUGAGAAUGUCUUUGUUAUUUUGUUAGAAUGAUGAACUAAACAAGUUUAUGUUGGAAUUUAUGUAUUAGCUUAACCUAUUUUCAUUAAUAUCGUGUUAUAUGUUGUUAGAUAUGCAUUUGUUAUCAAAAUAUUGGUGUAUUAAUUAUCAUGUUUAAGAUUACUACAUUUAUUUGACGUCAAUAGAUGUUGUGGUUAGGUAGUUGCGUAAUUAUUGAAAAAUAGUUGCACAUAAUGGACUGAAAUAAUUAAUACCAUAGGUUUGUAUGGUUUCGACUACACGCGUUUAGGUAUCCAGACAUGUAUACCUACCCUAUGUGACCCGUUGAGUUAUUUUCACAAAAAUUGAAUGCAG